rnacentral:rRNA from 1 species
AGCGCAGGCGGGAAGACAAGUUGGAAGUGAAAACCAUGGGCUCAACCCAUGAAUUGCUUUCAAAACUGUUUUUCUUGAGUAGUGCAGAGGUAGGUGGAAUUCCCGGUGUAGCGGUGGAAUGCGUAGAUAUCGGGAGGAACACCAGUGGCGAAGGCGGUCUACUGGGCACCAACUGACGCUGAGGCUCGAAAGCAUGGGUAGCAAACA